GUUCAGGUUAUAAAGCAAGUAUGAUUAAACAGCCUGUAAUAGUAGACGUUGGCACUACCAAGCAUGAAAGCGGUAGAAGGAAACCAGCGGUUGGUGCUCGUCCAAGAUCGAGGUCAGUCGGGAAAACGAAGUUGGAAAGCAAAUCCGUUAAACAGCCAUUUAAACCUUAUAUUACAGUAGACGAUGAGACACUUGAUGGGGAUUCACCAUCACGAAAGCACUCUGCCACCAACAGUCAAGUUAAAAAAUUCAUUUCGCUUCCAUCUUCCACUGUAAUGGAUGAUGCUAGUGGUCUUGCCCCUACAAUGGAGAACAGCAUUUAUGAUAGCAAAUAUCGUCGUCUUAGGACUACCUCGUUCACUGCGUACAAGAGCAAUACUAUUUUGCAUAAAACUACUUCCUCCAGAUUAUCCACUGCAGUGGAUGCUGGUGUUAAUAGACAUUUCGAACCUAAAGUCUCACAAUACAAGACUGGCGAUAUUCAGUCGUAUAAACUGCUUGACGACCUCGACAUCACCGAUGAAGAGGCACUGGAUACUGAAGAUAGUGAGGCUACAGAUGAUCCUGAUGAGAAUGAUGAUCCUGCUGAGCCGCCAUCAAGUACCGGAGAUGCAGAAGGAGAAGCGACAGGCAAUGCAGAAGGAGAAGCGACAGGCAAUCCAGAGGAUGUUACAGACGAACAAAAUGAAAACGAAGAUGGACAACCCGGUCCUCCGUCUGGCGAUAAGUCUGGGGCAAGUGAUUCUGUAGAAGAUGGAGAAACAGCUGGUCAUAUAGUACUAGUACAGUUUCUGCUUCUGGCUUUUGUGUGUAAAGCAGUUUCCUUAUUCUUCCAGCAACACAAAUGCACUUGCUGACUGUGAAUCUACGACAACCUACCAAAUGGAAUAUCAAACAAAUGCUGCAUACCUGUAAAUCUCACAUGUCCUUCAAUAAACAUCUUAUCAAUGGGAAAUACAUUAAUGGAUAGUCUGCAUUCAGUAUACAUCUACCUCACAAUCUCACAUAAACUCCCUGAGUAAAACCAGGCACCUCAGCUAGCCAGAUUGAAUCCAAUUGUGUGCUGGAUGCGGCCCACAGGCAGCCAACUACCCACCCAUGGCGUAUUUGGCACCACUGAAAAUGAAGUGAGAAAAUGUGAAACCAUAACCUUACCAUCACACUAUCAUGAGGUUCUGAGCCACCACAGUACCUGUAUGGUUCUGGACAAGGACUGACACGUAUGAUUUCAAGACCAUUCCUAAUAGAUUAAAGAAAAAAAAGCUACCAUUCAAAAUGCCUGGAUUCAU